UGUAUGUCUAUCUUGUUUCCUCACAGCUCCCUUGCAAAUUUGCAAUAGAUUUGCAAAGAACUUGCAUGGUAUGUACAUUUUAUCAUUUUUCUCCCAAAAUCAAAUAAAGUUAAUAAAAAAUUAUUAAUUAAAAUAUUUAGUGUUUAACAAGUACAUCGAUGAAUAUUUUUGGAAAUUUAAUCAAUAUCAGUCAACUAAAUAUUUACGGGAUAAAUAUUUUCUGACACUUAAAACUAAUAUUACAAAGUACUAAACAUCAAAACUCUAUAAUUUAUACAAUAAAUACACGUCAAAGAAGUUUCCAAAAAAAAAUUGAAACAAAAUUUCACGUCAAUUGUUUUUUCGAACAACAAAUACAAAAUACAUAUUAGUCCAGAAAAAAUAUACCAAUACCCCAAACGAAACCCUAAACUCAUUGACUUAUGAAUUUGCAAGGAAUUUGCGAGGGAUCCCUCGUAAUUUCAUUGCAAAUCUCAAAUUUGCGAUGAAUUUGCAAGGGAAUCCUCGCAAUUCCCUUGCAAAUUCAUUUUUUCCCCAAUUACUCAAAAUUUAAAUAAAAUCUAAUUUUUAUAAUAUAUAUAUAUAUAUAUAUAUAUAUAUAAAAUAUCUCAAACUAUAUACCAAAUUUAAAAUUUUACAUUAUACAUUUCAAAAAUAAAUAAAAAACACUAAACAACACAAAAACAAAAUCACUAAUCUUAACUCAAACACUAUAUCUUAAACCCUAAAAUCUAUGUAUAAACUCUAUACCCCAAAUCACUAAUCUAGACACUAAAUCAUUUAUAAUGUUUAAAAUGUACAUCGAAAAAUAUUUUCCGAAAUUUGAUUAACUAUUGUUAUGAACUUAAGUCUCAAGCCUUGAUUUCUUAAAACCCUUUAUCAUAAAUACAAAUUACAUAUACACUAAACUUAAAUUAAAUCUAAAUUUCAUACCCUCAAACCUUAUACUCCAUAUACACUAAACUUAAAAUUAAUCUUACACACAAAAUUUACAACUCUAAUAUUUUCAGACUCCAAUAUCUAAUCCUAAAUUUAACUAAAAAUGAAAAUGAAAUAAAUUUCGAAAUUAAAAUUUAAACUUUAAACACUAUACUCAAAAUCUUUAACUUGUACAUAAAACUCUAAAAUAUCACUCUUACUUCUAAUUUUAACAAUAAACCCUAUAUCAUAAACACCAAACCUUUCAUUUAAAAAAGCGUAAUAUCAAAUUUAAAUUAUAUCCAUAAAAUCAAAACAUAAAAUGAACUAUACACGUCCAUACGUUGAAAAAAAGAAAAGAAAAAUAAAUAUCUUUGCUAGUAUUUUAUUGGCUGAAAAGAAAGGUGUAUGGAUUGAAAAUCUGAACCCUUGAUAACAAGAAAUCAAUGGUCAAGAUUGCUUAGACUUGUGUUUCUUCUUUCUGUCGACACAUUUCAACUUCUCCAUUAUUCUUCUUUUCGAAAAUCUCAUCUCCUUCUCCUCUCUCUCUGUCAAAUCUCCUCUCUUCUUCCUCCUAACCGACUAAACUCACUCUUCUCUAUUUAAUUUUUAUCAACUAUUCUUCUUUCUUCAUCUUGUCUGUUCCUCUUUUCUUCUUCUAAUCAUCCUAAGUUCACGAAGCAUCGUCAUUGAAGCGUCGUCGUGUUCUCACCGGAGAAGGUACAAAGCUCCUCCUCUAUCAGCAAGAAACGAGUUCUACAGCCUUAACUUUCAAGGAUCUAGUAGAUGAGGACUGGAUCUGGCGGAGAGAGUGUGACAACAGAGAAGAAGAAAAGCUGGAGACAUAUAAAGGCGGCACGCUCGCCAUCCCACCACCAACACCAUGGGUUGGAGGAAGCAAGGCGAGGUGGAGCAGCGGCAGUGGCAAGGCGGAAGACAGAUGAGCUUGCAUGUAGCAGCGCCAGUGGCAUGGCUGACGGAGGAGGCAGAGCGGAGGGGCAGAGCAGAGGAGGCAGACGCGGUGGUGCAGGCCGGUGGUGGCGGCUAGGGUUAAUUUUUUUUAGAUCUAGGUUUUGUUGUGUUAACCGGUUAACCACUAACCAUUUACGAUUUGGGACAAAAAUUAAUACUAAUAAGUAUAACAUUUUUAAUGAGUUAAUAAUAAUAUUAUUUUAAUUUAAUUUUUUUUAAUUUUUUUUUUCAUACGUAGUCGCAAAAUCAGUCACUAAUCUGGAAGGUGGAUGCGAUGGCCGGAAGUAGAAGCAUCGGUGGUGGCUGAAGCGUUGAGAGUGCGGUGGACAAAGACGACUGGAGGAGAACGACAGCGGCGGCUUAGAUUUAGGUUUCUUGUAUUUUGUUUGUAUUUAUGUUUAUAUAUUUACAUAUUUGUUUUUAUUAAUUAUAUCAAAUUGUUUUUUUUAACCAUCGGAAUAGAUACAUUUUCCUUUA